CCUACGUGAGGCAGCCGUGGGGAAUAUUGGGCAAUGGGCGCAAGCCUGACCCAGCAAUGCCGCGUGAAGGAAGAAGGCUUUCGGGUUGUAAACUUCUUUGACAGGGGAAGAGCAGAAGACGGUACCCUGAAAACAAGCCACGUCUAACUACGUGCCAGCAGCCGCGGUAAUACGUAGGUGGCACGCGUUGUCCGGAUUUAAUGGGUGUAAAGUGCGUGUAGCCGGGAAGGCAAGUCAGAUGUGAAAUCUGGAGGCUCAACCUCCAAAUUGCAUUUGAAACUGUUUUUCUUGAGUACUGGAGAGGCAGACGGAAUUCCUUGUGGAGCGGUGAAAGGCGUAGAUAUAAGGAGGAACACCAGUGGCGAAGGCGGUCUGCUGGACAGCAACUGACGGUGAGGCGCGAAAGCGUGGGGAGCAAACAGGAUUAGAUACCCCAGUAGUC
rnacentral:rRNA from 1 species